rnacentral:rRNA from 1 species
GAUGAACGCUGGCGGCGUGCCUAACACAUGCAAGUCGAACGGUCCUUCGGGACAGUGGCGCACGGGUGAGUAACACGUAGCUAACCUGCCUUCGAGAGGGGGAUAACGCCCCGAAAGGGGUGCUAAUACCGCGUACGCUCGCGCGAUGUAGAGGCGCGCGAGGAAAGGCGCAAGCCGCUCGAAGAGGGGGCUGCGGCCCAUCAGGUAGUUGGUAGGGUAAUGGCCUACCAAGCCAACGACGGGUAGGGGGUCUGAGAGGAUGGUCCCCCACACUGGGACUGAGACACGGCCCAGACUCCUACGGGAGGCAGCAGUGAGGGAUCUUGCACAAUGGGGGAAACCCUGAUGCAGCGACGCCGCGUGGGCGAAGAAGGCCUUCGGGUCGUAAAGCCC